GACGAACGCUGGCGGCGUGCUUAACACAUGCAAGUCGAACGGAAAGGCCCUGCUUUUGUGGGGUGCUCGAGUGGCGAACGGGUGAGUAACACGUGAGUAACCUGCCCUUGACUUUGGGAUAACUUCAGGAAACUGGGGCUAAUACCGGAUAGGAGCUCCUGCUGCAUGGUGGGGGUUGGAAAGUUUCGGCGGUUGGGGAUGGACUCGCGGCUUAUCAGCUUGUUGGUGGGGUAGUGGCUUACCAAGGCUUUGACGGGUAGCCGGCCUGAGAGGGUGACCGGCCACAUUGGGACUGCGAUACGGCCCAGACUCCUACGGGAGGCAGAAGUGGGGAAUAUUGCACAAUGGGCGGACGCCUGAUGCAGCAACGCCGCGUGCGGGAUGACGGCCUUCGGGUUGUAAACCGCUUUAGCCUGUGACGAAGCGUGAGUGACGGUAAUGGGUAAAGAAGCACCGGCUAACUACGUG
rnacentral:rRNA from 1 species